AAAAAUUCAAAUUAACGUCCGAUGUCAUUUUGGAAAUGAUUUCGUAGGCGUGGGCACGAAUACGAAGCUUGAAGGAGUUGUGGAAUUAGUUCGAACGAUUUUAUUUCGAAAACGAACGUUAUUUAGGGGGUCUUAAAAAGUGACUUCUUAUACGUACAGAAUUUGGGAAAACUUUCUUCAUGAAAGUUGUAGAGCUCGUCGAUACGAUCUCGUGCGUAUGUUGAACGCAAUAUUCGGAGUUUGUAUGAAUAAGUUAUGAAUAUUUGAAAAUCGGGAUUUUUUUUCUAUAAAUAUGGAGAAUUUCUGGAAUUUUUCUUAAAUCCCAAAAUUUCCUAUUCUUUCUAUUUUCUCCCCCGGUUUUCUCUCUUCUCUCUCCUCUCCCCCGACCUUUUUCUCUUCUUUCUGGGCGUUCUUCCUCUGCCAGCAGCGCCACCGUCCGGCCACCUCAAGCCGCUCUCGAGGUGUCCACGGCUUCGCCUCGACGUCGUCUAGCUACUGGACGUGACCACUUUCCCCGGAACGGCCUCAAAUCCGGCAAACCGGAGCUGCAAGGUUUGAGCCAAAAACAGUCAACGCCGGUUUUCUCCUAAUUCCGGCCACCAAAACUCACGAUCCUUAGCUCCCUGAACUCACCUCAACAUGCUGAUCAUCAUCCUAGAAGGAUCGCACCUGGAGUGACCGGAUUCACGUUCGUCGGAGCUCGGCCGGCUUUAAUUCGAAAACCACCUUCGAAUCCGAUUUUCUCGAGUUAUAGACCACCUUUUCUUGUGAUUCUUGGCCUGGUGAGUUCACCUUGAGAUUAUUAACAACUCUCAAGAAGGGAUCGAGGCCUGAGGUUGAAGUUUUUACGUCGGAAUUCAAGCUCGCCGGAUUCUGGAAAAUUUCCGACCACGAAGACUUUCGAUCAAGAUAUCGCGAGCUGUAGUGCAUCGUUUUGAUUGAUUCUUUUUCCAGUGGGUUCCCCUUGAUGUUGUUAACAACUCUCUAGAAGGCAUCGAGGCCUGAAAUUGAAUCUUUGACGUCGAAAUCGAGCCUUGCCGCAUUCUGCAAAAUUCUGGAAUUUUUCCGACCACCGAAGCUUUCGAUCGGUAUAUCUCGAGCUACAGACCAUAUUUUUCUGUGAUUCUUGAACCAGUGAGUUCUUCUUGAGUUUCUUAACAACUCUUCAGAAGGAAUCGAAGCCUUAAAUUGACGUUUUUACGUCGAAUUGGAGCUCGCCGUUUUCUGCAGUUUCUCGCCGGUUUCUGGAAAAUUCCGGCCACCUUCAUACUGUUCAAGGUGAUUGACGGUUUGAGUUGGCGGACGAUUGUGAAUCGUAUUUUGAGCUGUUAAGAAGACGCAGCGGGAUUAGAGCGGGUAAUCCUACAGGUCAGGAGAACCAGGACGGUGAUCGGGCUGCUUAGAGUAGUGUUAUGUGAAUUACAGCAUUAUAUUGUGAGGUUUGUUAUGCUCAUUUAGAG